CUGAGUAUUAUUGGAAUCCUUCCUCCACCUCAACUGUGUCGAAUGAGGAUUCUAAUCGCAAGUCAUUCCAGCGAACAAUCAGUGCACAGUCUACCCUAGACGAUGCCAACGCCCUGCUGAUGGAGCUAGAGACUCACGAGGGAACCGGAUCAGCAUUGGACAUGGACACCAACGGAAAUAAGUCAGACAUGGAGACGGACACAUCGGUCAAGACAACUGCACCAACGGACAGUCAGACAGACACACACAUGUCUACAGAGGAGGAAGACAAGAAGCCAAACUCUUGACCUACUAAUGUUUGUCUUCUGGACUGUGCUCACUUUCCUGGUCAGCUUGUGAAGGAACAAAGACUUUGUCAGGGGUCAAAAGUGGAUUUCUUAAUGGUUCUUCGUGAUUCAGACUACUUUAACAUGUUAAAGGUCAAGUUGGGAUGGGACUUCCGUUAUCACAUGGUAGAGGUUGUUUAAUCCAGAAAGGUUGAUGUUACACUGUGCAGAAUUUAGAAGUUAUAGGUAAACGUGUUGUACAGACUUUGGUCAAGUGAGUUCACUUUGGGGUCAGGUGAGUGCACUGUGAGGUCAAGGGGACAUUAAGGGAGUGCUGUUUGAGGUCAAGUCCGUUCACAGAAAGAAGGCAGUAUAUGUUCAGUGCUGUGAUAUAAACUCUCCUUGGCUGCCGAUGUUACACCAUUGACCUUGACUUUAUAAGAAAACUCCAUACGACAGAUGACUAAGGUAAACCCUGGUGAACUGACAUGUGAAACCUGUUGAUGAAAUGGGCAAAUGAUAGACCUGUGUCAACAUUGACUCUGUUCUGACAGAAUCCACUGAAAUUCUGUUGACAACCUCUGCAAGGAAACACUAUUCAAUGUAUAUAUGAACAGCAGUGAACUGGCCACUAGGAGUGAGAGACUACUGUCUAUAUUUUACUCACAAUAUGAACUGGCCACUAGGAGUGAGAGACUACUGUCCAUAUUUUACUCACUAUAUGAACUGGCCACUAGGAGUGAGAUACUACUGUCUAUAUUUUACUCACUAUAUGAAAUUGCCACUAGGAGUGAGAGACUACUGGCUAUAUUUUACUCACUAUAUGAACUGGCCACUAGGAGUUAGAGACUACUGUCUAUAUUUUACUCACUAUAUGAACUGGCCACUAGGAGUGAGAUACUACUGUCUAUAUUUUACUCACCAUAUGCAAUGUCCGGUUCUUAUACACCUCUGUUGUUACAGAUUUUGAUAAGUAUUUAUUAAAACCACAUUCAGAUAUUUGUUGAGGUAAAUUGAGUUAACAAAUGUUGCUUUUAAUUUGUGUAUCCCAAAUAUAUGUUGUAAGUGCUGUACGAGUUAUAAAAACAAAACAAACCAUGGGGAAAUUUCACUUUGCUUUGAUAAAGGAAAUAGUUCAAAUUUGUCUGUUUAUGAUAUGUACCUGUACUGCUAGCUGUUACCCUUAACUUCAAUGUAGAGUCCAACCAGUACUCUAAUAUAGAGGUCCUUUACAUUUACUACUAGUACUCUAAUAUAGAGGUCCUGUGCAUGACUAUCAGUACUCUAAUAUAGAGGUCCUGUGCAUUGACUACUAGUACUCUAAUAUAGAGGUCCUGUACAUUGCCUACUAGUACUCUAAUAUAGAGGUCCUGUGCAUGACUACCAGUACUCUAAUAUAGAGGUCCUGUGCAUGACUACUAGUACUCUAAUAUAGAGGUCCUGUGCAUGACUAUCAGUACUCUAAUAUAGAGGUCCUGUGCAUUGACUACUAGUACUCUAAUAUAGAGGUCCUGUACAUUGCCUACUAGUACUCUAAUAUAGAGGUCCUGUGCAUGACUACCAGUACUCUAAUAUAGAGGUCCUGUGCAUGACUACUAGUACUCUAAUAUAGAGGUCCUGUGCAUGACUAUCAGUACUCUAAUAUAGAGGUCCUGUGCAUUGACUACUAGUACUCUAAUAUAGAGGUCCUGUGCAUUGCCUACUAGUACUCUAAUAUAGAGGUCCUGUGCAUGACUACCAGUACUCUAAUAUAGAGGUCCUGUGCAUUACUACUAGUACUCUAAUAUAGAGGUCCUGUGCAUGACUACUAGUACUCUAAUAUAGAGGUCCUGUGCAUGACUACCAGUACUCUAAUAUAGAGGUCCUGUGCAUGACUAUCAGUACUCUAAUAUAGAGGUCCUGUGCAUUGACUACUAGUACUCUAAUAUAGAGGUCCUGUGCAUCACUACUAGUACUCUAAUAUAGAGGUCCUGUACAUUGCCUACUAGUACUCUCAUAUAGAGGUCAUGUGCAUGACUAUCAGUACUCUAAUAUAGAGGUCCUGUGCAUGACUACCAGUAUUCAAAUAUAGAGGUCCUGUGCAUGACUACUAGUACUCUAAUAUAGAGGUCCUGUGCAUUGACUAUCAGUACUCUAACAUAGAGGUCCUGUGCAUUGACUACUAGUACUAUAAUAUAGAGGUCCUGUGUAUGACUUCUAGUACUCUAAUAUAGAGGUCCUGUACAUUGCCUACUAGUACUCUCAUAUAGAGGUCAUGUGCAUGCCUAUCAGUACUCUAAUAUAGAGGUCCGGUGCAUUGACUACUAGUACUCUAAUAUAGAGGUCCUGUGUAUGACUUCUAGUACUCUAAUAUAGAGGUCCUGUGCAUUGACUACUAGUACUCUAAUAUAGAGGUCCUAUGCAUGACUACCAGUACUCUAAUAUAGAGGUCCUGUGCAUUGACUACUAGUACUCUAAUAUAGAGGUCCUGUGCAUGACUACCAGUACUCUAAUAUAGAGGUCCUGUGCAUGACUACUAGUACUCUAAUAUAGAGGUCCUGUACAUUGCCUACUAGUACUCUAAUAUAGAGGUCCUGUGCAUGACUACCAGUACUCUAAUAUAGAGGUCCUUUACAUUGCCUACUAGUACUCUAAUAUAGAGGUCCUGUGCAUGACUACUAGUACUCUAAUAUAGGGGUCCUGUGCAUGACUACCAGGUCCUUACAUGUUUCUUUGGUUUCUGUAGCUGGCUCCAGCUUUAUUAGUGUACAUGUGUCAUGUUAAUUAGCUUAAGAAUUUUCUAAAACUGGAGCAAUGCUUUCCCUAUGAGUAAAAUAAGUUAAGGGGAAAUAUUUAUAUGAUAUUCAUGAAACAAGAGCCUGAUACAUGCUUAGGUGUCUAUUAAAACAUUUUUAUAAAAACUAAGUUGUAUCUCGUGAAAUGUUAAGUGUGAUUGGUAACUGACUGCCAACUCUAACAGGAGGUGUAUUCUAUAUCAGGCAACUCCAACAGGAGGUGUAUUCUAUAACAGCCAACUCUAACAGGAGGUGUAUUCUAUAACAGGCAAAGUUUUUAUUCUGAAUCUGAUACAAAUAUAUGUGAUUAAAUAUACAAAGCUGCUUACCCCGGUACUCUGGUAAGAAUACUUUACUGUGAUUAUAACUGGUACAAAACGUUGCUGUAACAUUUGAUGCAAUGAAUGCUUAUCCUGCAACUGGUACAAAUAAAAAACCUACAUGUAAUACUAGAUACUUGAAAUAACCAGUAUGGGGCUAUGCUGUGACCAGUAUGGAGCUAUGCUGUGACCAGUAUUGGGCUAUGCUGUGACCAGUAUGGAGCUAUGCUGUGACCAGUAUUGGGCUAUGCUGUGACCAGUAUGGAGCUAUGCUGUGACCAGUAUGGGGCUAUGCUGUGACCAGUAUGGGGCUAUGCUGUGAUCAGUAUGGAGCUAUUUAUGCUGUGACCAGUAUUGGGCUAUGCUGUGACCAGUAUGGAGCUAUGCUGUGACCAGUAUUGGGCUAUGCUGUGACCAGUAUGGAGCUAUGUUGAUGACAGUAUGGGGAUUUACUGUGACCAGUAUGGGGCUAUGCAGUGACUGAUAAGGAGCUAUGCUGUGACCAGUUUGGGGCUAUGCUGUGACCAAUAUGGACCUAUGCUGUGACCAGUAUGGAGGUAUGCUGUUGACAGUAUGGGGCUAUGCUGUGUCUGUUUAAUAAUAUAACUGCUAUCGAGAAUCUAGGCUGAAAUUUUGUUUCUUUGUAACCAGAUUAUUCAUUUUGUAUAUAGUGACAAGACAUAUGCAACAUCAAAAUGAAUAUAUAUUUAAGAAAUAAUGGCUUAUUUGAACAAUAUCUAUAGUCCUAAAAAAAUCUUUUCUGCUUCUCAUGCGGUUUGAAAAUAUAUUCCUUUUGAGGGGGUUCCUUUUUGAGAGGUGCAAGUGUACCACAUCAGUUACCGACUUAAAACGUAGUGAGAACCCUACUCAUUGUCCUAAAGGGUUUGAAUAAUUAUUUGGUUUGUACUUUGUACCCAGAGACUUUAUUUUCUGUACCUAUGAAUCUUCUCCCUCUUUAGUUAGGACUUUUUUUAGAAAUGACAAAAAUAUGUAUAUUUUUGUUAACUUUCUUCUGAAUAAUGGAGUUGCUGAUCGGAGAUUUUUUUUAUGAUGAUUUAUGAAAUUCCUUACUUUGACUAUUUUAUGUUACAGAAGAAAGCAAGAAAUGAAAGAAAUAAAAUGCUAUUAAUGUGUACUUUG